CGCUCUUUGUAAAAUUAUUUAUAUAUAAGGAGUUCUGCCUGCCCGGUGACGUUGUUAAACGGCCGCGGUAUUUUGACCGUGCGAAGGUAGCAUAAUCAUUUGCCCUUUAAAUGGGGGCUGGUAUGAAUGGCAAGACGGGGGUUAAGCUGUCUCUUUCUUAUGUCUUGAAUUUUAUAUUUUUGUGAAGAAGCAGAAAUAAAUUCGUAGGACGAGAAGACCCUAUCGAGCUUUAAUAAAAGUAUCAGUAAAAUUUAGUGAAUUUAAUAAUCUAAUAAAGUUGGUAUUACAAUUUUGUAAGUUAUUUGUUAAAAGUUAAGGUUUAGUGUGAUAUUGUAUUUUUGAUUGGGGUAAUCGUGGAGAAAAGAAAAUCUCCAUUAAGGUAAUAAAAAAAAUUAUAAUUUUAUGAAAAAAAAUAGAUGAUCCGUUGAGUGAGCGAGCAAAGGAAUAAGUUACCGUAGGGAUAACAGCGUAAUUUUUUUGGAGAGUUCAUAUUGAUAAAAAAGUUUGCGACCUCGAUGUUGGAUCGGGAUUUCCUGGAGAUGCAGUAGUUUCCAAAGGUUGGUCUGUUCGACCAUUAAAAUCCU
rnacentral:rRNA from 1 species